AAGCGAAUCAAAUUUUAUCAGAUUGUUUAGUAGAUUUAAGUUUUAUUAUACACUUAACUUGUCUUUCUUUUUAGACACAAUGUCUAAGCUAUCCUAUACCUAAUCAGCCUAACUCUACUUCAUUUAUCCUCAUUUCCCUUCUCUUGUUCAUUUCACCCUUGCUAGUCUUUUCCCAGAUCAAAACCUAACCCUUUUACCGUUUUUCUUUUUUACAAUUCAUGCAUUUCAAUAAAAUCUAUU
rnacentral:lncRNA from 1 species